UGGGUNUAGUGCUUAGCACCAUCUGAGGCC
rnacentral:piRNA from 1 species